rnacentral:tRNA from 1 species
GGCGCAGUGGACGAACGGUAGAGUCACCUGCCUUUCAAGCAGGGCGUAUGCGGGUUCGAAUCCCGUCUGCGCUGC